GACCGACCUUGAUCUUCU
rnacentral:snRNA from 1 species